rnacentral:misc_RNA from 1 species
AAGGAAUCAGUGUUCAAAUCAAAAGGAUUUAUUGUUGGGGUUAGUGCUGCUGGUGUGAUAGUUAUUGUGUUAGGAAUUGUGAUGUAUGAGGUUUUGCUCUGGAGGAAGAGGAGAGAAGAGAAGAUGAAAGAAAAAAUUGAAGACUGGGAGUCGGAGUAUUGGCCUCAUCGCGUUGAUUAUAGACAAAUACAUGCAGCAACUAAGGGAUUUGCAGAAGAAAAUGUGAUUGGAUUUGGAGGAAAUGGAAAGGUCUAUAAGGGUACAUUGGAAGGAGGAGUAGAAGUUGCUGUUAAGAGAAUCUCUCAUCAAAGUGAACGGGGAAUCAGAGAAUUCCUAUCUGAAGUUUCAAGCCUAGGAAGACUAAAGCAUAGGAACUUGGUAGGAAUAAGAGGUUGGUGUAAACAAGACAGAGAAAGCUUGAUUUUAUUGUAUGACUAUAUGGAGAAUGGGAGCUUGGACAAGAGGAUUUUUACUUCUAAGAAUUCUACUUUGAGUUGGGAAGAAAGGAUCAAGAUUUUGAAAGAUGCAGCUAAUGGGAUCUUGUAUUUGCACGAAGGAUGGGAAGCUAAAGUCUUGCACAGAGACAUUAAGGCGAGCAAUCUACUACUCGACAAAGAAAUGAAUGCAAGGUUAGGAGAUUUUGGUUUAGCCCGGAUGCACCAUCAUGGACAGUUGGCUAGAACAACACAAGUGGUUGGGACCGUAGGGUACAUGGCACCCGAAGUGGUUCGAACUGGACGAGCCUCAAUGCAGACCGAUGUGUUUAGUUUCGGAGUCUUGCUUCUAGAAGUGGUCUGUGGUAGAAGAUCUAUUGAGGAAGGCAAGCCUGGAUUAGUUGAAUUUGUUUGGAGGCUAAUGGAGAGAGGGGAAGUAAUUAGUGCUUUGGAUGAUAGAUUGAACGCAAAGGGAG